AUAUUUACUUGGCAGGGGAGGGACCGUGAUCAUUAAGGUGGUUCUGCCAGGACGAUGCUAUCCCAUUGCACUUCGGAUGUGCUGACGCCUGCCAUGUCCCUAAAUGCGGGUUACUCGACUGCAAAAUUUGUGGUAGUGGGGAACUAUGUCUGUGCUCUGA